rnacentral:rRNA from 1 species
ACGGGAGGCAGCAGUGGGGAAUAUUGGGCAAUGGGCGCAAGCCUGACCCAGCAAUGCCGCGUGAAGGAAGAAGGCUUUCGGGUUGUAAACUUCUUUUAAGAGGGACGAUAAUGACGGUACCUCUUGAAUAAGCUCCGGCUAACUACGUGCCAGCAGCCGCGGUAAUACGUAGGGAGCAAGCGUUAUCCGGAUUUACUGGGUGUAAAGGGCGUGUAGGCGGGACUGCAAGUCAGAUGUGAAAGCACGAGGCUCAACUUCGUGUCUGCAUUUGAAACUGUAGUUCUUGAGUGUUGGAGAGGCUAACGGAACUCCUAGUGUAGCGGUGAAAUGCGUAGAUAUUAGGAGGAACACCAGUGGCGAAGGCGGCUUUCUGGACGAAAACUGACGUUGAGGCGCGAAAGCGUGGGGAGCAAACAGGAUUAGAUACCCUGGUA